UACGUAGGGGGCAAGCGUUGUCCGGAUUUAUUGGGCGUAAAGAGCGUGUAGGCGGUUAGGUAGGUCCGUUGUGAAAACUCGAGGCUCAACCUCGAGACGCCGAUGGAAACCAUCUGACCAGAGUCCGGAAGAGGAGAGUGGAAUUCCUGGUGUAGCGGUGAAAUGCGCAGAUAUCAGGAGGAACACCAAUGGCGAAGGCAGCUCGCUGGGACGGUACUGACGCUGAGACGCGAAAGCGUGGGGAGCAAACAGG
rnacentral:rRNA from 1 species